rnacentral:rRNA from 1 species
AUUGAACGCUGGCGGCAGGCCUAACACAUGCAAGUCGAACGAGGGGCGGACGGGUGAGUAAUGUCUGGGAAACUGCCCGAUGGAGGGGGAUAACUACUGGAAACGGUAGCUAAUACCGCAUACCAUCGGAUGUGCCCAGAUGGGAUUAGCUAGUAGGGGGGGUAACGGCUCACCUAGGCGACGAUCCCUAGCUGGUCUGAGAGGAUGACCAGCCACACUGGAACUGAGACACGGCCCAGACUCCGACGGGAGGCAGCAGUGGGGAAUCUUGGACAAUGGGCGAAAGCCUGAUGCAGCCAUCCCGCGUGUGUGAUGAAGGCCUUCGGGUUGUAAAGCACUUUUGGCAGGAAAGCGGUACUUGCAGAAUAAGCACCGGCUAACUACGUGCCAGCAGCCGCGGUAAUUC